GACGGAGCCCUGGAUCGGCAGUCAGGGCCGUCUUUGAGUUGCUGGAUGGAUCCGGUCAAAGCACUUCCCAUCUCACUUCUUAACAGACAGUACGAUCUUGUCUGACUACAAGGACAUAAUUUAGCAGCAUUUCACUUGCGGAUUGCAAACUUCUCAGCUCCUCCUUAAGGAUUUGAUGCUAAGAAAACAAUCCCAACGGAACGCUUGACAAGAAAAAUAUCCCGAGGAGAAGAAAGAGCAGAGUGCAGUGCAAUGAUACCAUCCGUCCUUUUAUUCAAGAUUAACCAAUGAAUUCCUGAUCCAGUCUUCCAGUGUCAAGUGCUGCAAGUCUCCAGGAAGUUAUAAG